rnacentral:tRNA from 1 species
ACCUGGGUAGCUCAGUCGGUUAAGCGUCUGACUUCAGCUCAGGUCAUGAUCUCACAGUUCAUGAGUUCAAGCCUCAUGUUGGGCU